CAAAAAUGAUGAAGGCUGCAAACGAGAGGGUUCUUUCGCAGCUUAAGUCUUCUCUGCUGAAAAAAAGGCAAAGGACAUCCACCCCCUCACAAAGUGAGGAAGAUGAUGUAGACAUAGACACCAAUACAGACCUUUUUGAUUCACCCCAAGCUUCUGGAACAGCUGACCCCUGCUUUAGGCAACAGGAAAUGGAGUGUGGCCCGAUGAAUCAGGCACUGGAAAACAUAGACAGGCACCAGGAAGUGAUAGAUGCAUUAAAAGAAAUACCCACCCUUAUCAAUUGUGUUAAGGAACUAACAACCACUAUAAAGCGUUUGCUACCUUCCUUCGACAGUGAUACAAGUUCAGGGUCCUCCAGUCCUGCUCCAGAAAUGGUUUCCUUGGGCAACUCAGCAGUUAUGGUGAACCGAAGAUGUUUUAAAAGAUUGAACAGAACAAGGAUGUCCCUUUUUGCCCAGGAUUUAGCUGUUCUACUCUUUGGUCGCAACAUUUUAGCUUCCUCAAGCCUUACAGGCAAUGGAACGGAAAAGGAUCCCUUAGAUUCUGAAAAGUUGAAUGCUCUUGUUGACACAGUAAUAUCCGAGUUCCCAGGAACAAGUGUGUCUGAAGUGAGAGCUGUCAUAAGACGAAAGUGCAACAAUGAAAAUUCUGUUUCAAAGAAGAAGAUGUAGGUUUGAUUGUGAUUUUGUGUUUUGUUUUCACUCACACACACUCACUCACACACACACACACGUGUGUGCAAGGGCAGUGUACACCAGGGUUUACAUGGAUGUUAGGCAUGUUACUUUAGGCUGUAAGUUGCAUAAUUUUAUUUAUUUAAUUAUUUAUUUUACAUGUUUCUACCUCAAAUAAGUUUGAAAUGGUUUGAUUUUGCCAAUGAAUGCAAAACUUGAUAUAUUUUUGAAAAUAUCUAUAUAUUUUUGUUUGCCCAUUAUUUUCCAACUAAUGGGCCUUGCCAAAAUUUCCCUUUGUCAUUUGCUGUUGUUCUUUAGUCAGUAGAGGCACAAUGAAAGUGUGUAAGAUCAUUUUGAUUGUGUUCGUUAGCGAUUGUUAAAGAAUUUACUAAAGUAAGAGUUUAAGAAUGUUUUAAACAGUCUAAAGGUUUUUCUGUUUAGUGAUAAAUAUACUUAAAACAUGCUGUUUUGUUACACUGAUAAAGCAUUUAGUUUGCCAUUAAGUGCUAAUAAAGACAUGUUAAGAACAAA